CAGGACACUGGAGUUUUGCAGGAGUUUAGUGGGAAGUUUACACGGGGGCCUGGAACAAGCCCCUGUGAUCACAAGGAGUCCGGUGGAGAAGAGAAGAUGCCAACUCUGUCCCCAUAUCCAUUCAGGCAGCAUUAUUACAAGACCUAAUAACAUCAGCCAUACCAUCAGGAGAUCAUUCAACUGCUCAUCCUCCAACAUGACACAUACCAUCAUUGUCAACUGUGCCCUUCUGUUGUCUACAUAGAACAAGGACACUUUGAGAUCUGCCAGAGAAGUCCUGCUCAGAGUUCCAUGUUUUAGAGAUUCUAGAUUGGCAGGACCUUCUCAGUAGUUGUCCCAACAAUGUGAAAUGUUCUACCUUGGGAGUUAUUCUUGAC